AUGUGGGAUUCGAUCCUGGGUCUUCAGGAUCGCGCCCUGGGCCAAAGGCAGGCGCCAAACCGCUGCGCCACCCAGGGAUCCCUGCUCACUUUUUUAAAAAUAAAACUCCAGGUGAGCAAGUGUUGCACGAUGAAUUACCGGGUCCUUCACACGAGCCUUUGGCCCUGGGGCCUCCCGCAUGGGCCCGCAGUCCUGGGCCUGCUCUCAGGCGCUGGUCCUGAGCCCGGUGGCCCCAGCGCUGCUGCGCCCCUGGCCACAGUCAGGGGUCCCCGUAUUUAUCAUCUCGAGCAAGGGGGGAGAGAAGACCGGACGCCAACCAUCCAGAGCGGGGAGCAGUGGCCCCCAAGCCCGGACCAGAAAGCAAUGGAUUUGGGGAAUGCAGGUAGGGAUCAGGGCCCCAGGACCAGUGAGCUUGGCCCCACUCGCCUGGACCCACUUCCCCAGGCAUGUGGCAGAGGGCGUCCGUGCGGCCUGGCGCCAUCCAGCAGGUGGCUCACCCCCGGCCUCGCAGCGGGCGCCCUCGGGCGGCGAGGAGCUUCAGUGGGGCUCUGGCCCGUCCCCACACCACCAGCAACAGCAACGCUGGAUGAGCCCUGGCGCAUGUCUCAGCCAACGGGCGCUGAGCCGAUGAAGUGUCACAUCCCGACACAAGCGGACUCGAGCGACAUGGCGUCCCUCGUGUCAUCGAGGGCCAGGCAUGGUGCCCAGAAUAUCUCAGAUGCGCCGAAGCCCUGGCCCCGGGCGCAGGGUCCUCAGGGGCCCCCGCCUACAUGGCCCGCCGCCCACUGCCUUCAGCGCCUGCGGCCCCGGAGUCCCAGGCACCCCCGUGGGCGCUGUGGGUGCGCCCAACAGCCCUUCCCAGCAUUGCUGGCCCGAGCACACCAGCAACUCCGAAGUGGGGCACAGACGAGGGCGCAGGAUUGGGCUCCAUCAGGACAACCGGAGGAGGCCCCCCUGCCCCUGACGGCUGCCCUGCUGAGGGCCGGAUGGGUGGGAGGGAGACCAGGUGGGACAGGCCCCCACACUCCGGCCCCAGCCGCUUCUCUGCGGCGGGCAGCCCUUCUACAGGCAGGACGCAGGUGCACGAGGUGCAUGAGGUACAGGAGGGCGCCCCCCCACCCCGCGGCCCGCAGCCCAAUGCAGCCCGGCCAGCUGCUGCCCGCUGCUCCCCAGGGAGCUCGGCCUCGUCCCUUCCAGUCCUGA
rnacentral:lncRNA from 1 species